CUGAAGCAACAAAUGCCCUGCUUCCAGGAAAAGCCUCUAAGCAUCAGGUAACACGAAAUCGUACCCCAAACCGACACAGGUGGUCAGGUAGAGAAUACCAAGGCGCUUGAGAGAACUCGGGUGAAGGAACUAGGCAAAAUGGUGCCGUAACUUCGGGAGAAGGCACGCUGACACGUAGGUGAAGUGAUUUACUCAUGGAGCUGAAGUCAGUCGAAGAUACCAGCUGGCUGCAACUGUUUAUUAAAAACACAGCACUGUGCAAACACGAAAGUGGACGUAUACGGUGUGACGCCUGCCCGGUGCCGGAAGGUUAAUUGAUGGGGUCAGCGCAAGCGAAGCUCCUGAUCGAAGCCCCGGUAAACGGCGGCCGUAACUAUAACGGUCCUAAGGUAGCGAAAUUCCUUGUCGGGUAAGUUCCGACCUGCACGAAUGGCGUAAUGAUGGCCAGGCUGUCUCCACCCGAGACUCAGUGAAAUUGAACUCGCUGUGAAGAUGCAGUGUACCCGCGGCAAGACGGAAAGACCCCGUGAACCUUUACUAUAGCUUGACACUGAACAUUGAGCCUUGAUGUGUAGGAUAGGUGGGAGGCUUUGAAGUGUGGACGCCAGUCUGCAUGGAGCCGACCUUGAAAUACCACCCUUUAAUGUUUGAUGUUCUAACGUGGACCCGUAAUCCGGGUUGCGGACAGUGUCUGGUGGGUAGUUUGACUGGGGCGGUCUCCUCCUAAAGAGUAACGGAGGAGCACGAAGGUUGGCUAAUCCUGGUCGGACAUCAGGAGGUUAGUGCAAUGGCAUAAGCCAGCUUGACUGCGAGCGUGACGGCGCGAGCAGGUGCGAAAGCAGGUCAUAGUGAUCCGGUGGUUCUGAAUGGAAGGGCCAUCGCUCAACGGAUAAAAGGUACUCCGGGGAUAACAGGCUGAUACCGCCCAAGAGUUCAUAUCGACGGCGGUGUUUGGCACCUCGAUGUCGGCUCAUCACAUCCUGGGGCUGAAGUAGGUCCCAAGGGUAUGGCUGUUCGCCAUUUAAAGUGGUACGCGAGCUGGGUUUAGAACGUCGUGAGACAGUUCGGUCCCUAUCUGCCGUGGGCGCUGGAGAACUGAGGGGGGCUGCUCCUAGUACGAGAGGACCGGAGUGGACGCAUCACUGGUGUUCGGGUUGUCAUGCCAAUGGCACUGCCCGGUAGCUAAAUGCGGAAGAGAUAAGUGCUGAAAGCAUCUAAGCACGAAACUUGCCCCGAGAUGAGUUCUCCCUGAGACUUAGAGUCUCCUGAAGGAACGUUGAAGACGACGACGUUGAUAGGCCGGGUGUGUAAGCGCAGCGAUGCGUUGAGCUAACCGGUACUAAUGAACCGUGAGGCUUAACCUUACAACGCCGAAG
rnacentral:rRNA from 1 species